GCGGGAGUAGCUCAGUUGGUAGAGCGCAACCUUGCCAAGGUUGAGGUCGAGAGUUCGAGAC
rnacentral:tRNA from 1 species